CACCCUGUCGUGCCGUGCGGUUCCUGUGGAGGUCCACCAAGGUGUCCAUGAGCCCCAAAACAGACAGCCCUUCAGAGACCCCAACUAGCCGAUAUACAGCCAGGGUCAGAGGAGUACGCUGCAGGCAGGGCCUACCUUCUGCACUCCUUCCCUGCACUAAACUGUCGCUACGUCAUCCCUUGCUUCGUGUCCGCCAGGCCACAUCCUGCAGGUAGGAUACUGUACACACUAUAGCAACAUGUAGAUCCUGGAGAUCCAUGGAGAUACUAUACAAUAUAAAAUGUACUGUACAAACUAAAACUCCUUUGUGAAGCUAUUCAAUAUCAACUUUACUGUACACACUACAACUCCAUUGAGAUCCUAGUCAAUAUCAACUUUACUGUUGUCCCACAUUUGGGUAUUUUUUUAAUGUGGUCACCCUAGUUGUUGUAUUGCUGACGAGCUUUCUUCUGUUCCAACGGCCUUCUCAACACGCUGUACCUGGAGCUGCAUUUCCCAGUCAUCAGGCCCCCCUAGUGGUCAAUCAACUACAACCAGGUGGCUGUGGGGACCCAGAACUACAGCGGUCUAAGUGUGUUCAGUGUGAUGCCCACAGAGGGCGCCAUCACCCCAGGAAAGAGCCAGGACAUCACUGUGACCUUCCUGUCAGACCACGAGAGCCUCCACUACCUGGUCAGACUGGCGGUGGAGCUCAUGAACAAGGUGCCACAGAAUCAAAUAAUCUAACUCUCAUUAAGACACACUGUGUCUGAAAUGGCUCCCUACUAAUUCCAUAUAUAGUGCACUACUUUUCACCAUAGGGCCAUGAUCUAAAUAAAUGCCCUAUAUAGGGAAUAUGGUGCCAAUUUGGACACAACCAACACCUCUGCUUAUUUUUUUUUAUGUUUAUAGUGCAGUGUUCAAAUUAAACUUUAUUUAAACCCCCCAUCACCAACCCAGUGGCAGUCCUAAGAGAUGAUGCAGUCAGUGAGAGCAAGGCCUAAGAAUUACAGGCAAUCUAACUUUACUAGGCCACUCAUCUCCUCCCUUUAGGACAGCAGCAGUGCUAGGCCGCAGUGCUCACGUACGCACACACAUAGCUGAAUAUAGAGCAUGUUUUCAGUAUGAACCAGUUUCCUGAUACAGGCUUUUAUAUUUGGUUGGCAAUAAAUGGGAAGGUGUCUAAUGCAGGAGUUCAGUAUAACUAUAAAAUUAUUUACUGACGCAGGAUGUUUCAGAUGUAAUCACUAUUUCAGACUGUAAAGAUAAAUUGACCCCUUUUCUGUCACUAUGGAUUGUAUAAACAGAGCAUGGGCUGCUCUAACACCCUGCCGCUCCUUCUCUCAGAGAACAGUGUGUGUCAUGGUGCUGAAGGGUGCUGCUCGCUCUCACACUAUUUACCUGUGUGGAGGAGACCCACUGGCAGUGCCCACUGAUGCCCUCCAACCUCCUGGGAUUUUGAGCCCACAAAUAAGUAAGUCUCUCUCUCUCUCGUCACUGUGAAUCUGUUUAGCCUGUUCUCUUCUCCCUGUGUAGUAAACUGGGAGAAGCCCCCCCUGCCUGUGCUGCUCCUCACCCUCAGAAGGGUCUACUGAGAGGGGGCCGUGACCCCAGCGGUCAGAGAGCUGGAUGUGGGCGGCAUCCGCUCCACAUCCCUUGGUG